CUGGGUAUAAAAGUGGACUAAGAACCCGUGUUCAGCAUCGGUUCUCCCUUGAGCUGGCCUGCUGUUCUGACAGCAUCUCCCAUUCUAGUAAACUUUAUUUCCCUCCCGUUCUGUCUCAUGUCUGGAAAUUCUUUUCCAACCCGCUCACGGACCACGACAGACAUAAAAGAAAAAGG